ensembl:misc_RNA Metazoa_SRP Metazoan signal recognition particle RNA
GCCAGGUGUGGUGGUGCAUGCCUGUAAUCCUAGCUACUUGGGAGGCUGAGGCAGGAGAAUCGCUUGAACCCGGGAGGCAGAGGUUGCAGUGAGCCGAGAUCGUACCAUUGCACUCCAGCCCGGGUUAUAGAGUGAGACUCUGUCUCAG